UACGGAGGUUGCAAGCGUUGUUCGGAAUAACUGGGCGUAAAGGGAGCGCAGGCGGUCUCGUAAGUCUAAAGUGAAAUGCCAGGGCUCAACCUUGGACGUGCUUUGGAUACUGCAAGACUUGAGUACGUGAGAGGAGAGUGGAAUUCCAGGUGUAGCGGUGAAAUGCGUAGAUAUCUGGAGGAACACCGGUGGCGAAAGCGGCUCUCUGGCACGUUACUGACGCUGAGGCUCGAAAGCGUGGGGAGCGAACGGGAUUAGAUACCCCGGUAGUCCACGCCGUAAACGUUGUGCACUAGGUGUAGGAGGUAUCGACCCCUUCUGUGCCGCAGCUAACGCAUUAAGUGCACCGCCUGGGGAGUACGGUCGCAAGACUGAA
rnacentral:rRNA from 1 species